CUGCCACUCUUUAAGCAAAAUAAACAGAUUUUUGAGCAUCAUCUCUUUUUUGGAUCAUCAUUUUGCAAGUGGAGAUUGUGCUUUUUUUUCUGAAGCUUUGGUAGUGUAACGGUUAGAGUCCUGGAAUUGGAAAAGCAAAUCCAGAAGUUGAGUUCCAUGACUUUUUUGCUGUUUGCCUUUGGACUUGCAUCGUUUAUAUUUUUAAUUCAUCGAGGAUGAGAAAAUUGAUUAACACAAAAUCUUUUCAUGUCUUUUCUGAUGAGAGACUAGUUGAAUCCAAGAAGAGAAGCCCUUGAAGAGUGUAUUCUAUUCUAGACAAGCAUUCACACAUUGGCUUCUUUGGUGCCAGCAUGUUUCUGAUCAGCAUGAAAACUGCGCAGGAGCUUUUCUGUCUUGCAGAGCUAGUUAAUGAGAUUGUUGCUGCCUUCAGAUUCUAUAAAGGACUUCUCCAAUAUUGGAUUAAAGAAUGAAGAAAGGAUCAAAUUGAGACAUCCAGGGGGGAAGAGUUCCCUGGCAAAACUCCAAUCUGCCUGAGCACUGAGGUGGAGCCACAGAAGUCCGGGUCAUUUGCACCUGGGAGGAGCCUGGCCCCUCCUCUUCCUGUUCCUGUGUGGAAUCUGGGAUUUAAUCUGUGAGGAUGGAAGGCCAAGGGCAGGAAGCACAGGCUCUCACUUCACUAAGAGUCUCUGUUUCCCCAUUUUUUCCUUUAUGCCUAAUAAAUCCCAUUUUUCUCACUCUUCAAA
rnacentral:lncRNA from 1 species